rnacentral:rRNA from 1 species
UUAUUUGAGAGUUUGAUCCUGGCUCAGGAUGAACGCUGGCGGCGUGCCUAACACAUGCAAGUUGAGCGAUUUACUUCGGUAAAGAGCGGCGGACGGGUGAGUAACGCGUGGGUAACCUACCCUGUACACACGGAUAACAUACCGAAAGGUAUGCUAAUACGGGAUAAUAUAUUUGAGAGGCAUCUCUUAAAUAUCAAAGGUGAGCCAGUACAGGAUGGACCCGCGUCUGAUUAGCUAGUUGGUAAGGUAACGGCUUACCAAGGCGACGAUCAGUAGCCGACCUGAGAGGGUGAUCGGCCACAUUGGAACUGAGACACGGUCCAAACUCCUACGGGAGGCAGCAGUGGGGAAUAUUGCACAAUGGGCGAAAGCCUGAUGCAGCAACGCCGCGUGAGUGAUGAAGGCCUUCGGGUCGUAAAACUCUGUCCUCAAGGAAGAUAAUGACGGUACUUGAGGAGGAAGCCCCGGAUAACUACGUGCCAGCAGCCGCGGUAAUACGUAGGGGGCUAGCGUUAUCCGGAUU